CGCUAACAAUAAAAAGAAAAGUCAGACAGUUGAAAAAUCUGAUAAACUCCAAGCACACACUUUGAAGCAGCAACCAAGCUACAUCGAGAAGUAUUGAAGACUUUAGUAGCUCGUAUAUCCAUAAGCUGAUAUUGUAUUGCUGCAAGCGGUGAUAACUUGAGCUUGUACUAAGCUCCAUUAUGCGAGUGCCCAUUUUAUAUCCACCUUUUAGUAUUUAAACAUAUUACACUAUUUCCACCUCGGUUUCUUUAUUUAAUGUCACACUAAGAAUUAGAGAGUCAAGAAACAGAAGGUUCCAAAAUCUUUCAGCAAUAUUAGUGUGCAUCUAUGUCACUAGACAGUGUUAGUUUUUCUAUAGGCAGAACCUGGUACUCAUUGGCAUUUGUGGAUAUAGAAGCACACCUUAUUUCAGGGUUUGCAUCCUCUUCAGACAUUAUGCAGCACAUCUAUUUAACCCUCCUGAACAGGG